rnacentral:rRNA from 1 species
AUGGUGAGUGCUGGAAAGAUUUAUCGGUGGGGGAUGGACUCGCGGCCUAUCAGUUUGUUGGUGAGGUGAUGGCUCACCAAGACGAUGACGGGUAGCCGGCCUGAGAGGGCGACCGGCCACACUGGGACUGAGACACGGCCCAGACUCCUACGGGAGGCAGCAGUGGGGAAUAUUGCACAAUGGGCGAAAGCCUGAUGCAGCGACGCCGCGUGGGGGAUGACGGCCUUCGGGUUGUAAACCCCUUUCAGUAGGGAAGAAGCGAGAGUGACGGUACCUGCAGAAGAAGCGCCGGCUAACUACGUGCCAGCAGCCGCGGUAAUACGUAGGGCGCAAGCGUUGUCCGGAAUUAUUGGGCGUAAAGAGCUUGUAGGUGGCUUGUCGCGUCUGCCGUGAAAACCCGAGGCUCAACCUCGGGCGUGCGGUGGGUACGGGCAGGCUAGAGUGUGGUAGGGGAGACUGGAACUCCUGGUGUAGCGGUGAAAUGCGCAGAUAUCAGGAAGAACACCGAUGGCGAAGGC